rnacentral:rRNA from 1 species
CAUUACUGAGUUACCGCUCUAUAACCCUUUGUGAACAUACCUACAACUGUUGCUUCGGCGGGUAGGCCGUCCCCUGAAAAGGACGCCUCCCGGCCCGGACCGGACCCCCCGCGGGACCGGACCCGGCGCCCGCCGGAGGAUAACCAAACUCUAUUGUAACGACGUUUCUUCUGAGUGGCAUAAGCAAAAUAAUCAAAACUUUUAACAACGGAUCUCUUGGUUCUGGCAUCGAUGAAGAACGCAGCGAAAUGCGAUAAGUAAUGUGAAUUGCAGAAUUCAGUGAAUCAUCGAAUCUUUGAACGCACAUUGCGCCCGCCAGCAUUCUGGCGGGCAUGCCUGUUCGAGCGUCAUUUCAACCCUCAAGCUCUGCUUGGUGUUGGGGCUCUACGGUCGACGUAGGCCCUCAAAGGUAGUGGCGGACCCUCCCGGAGCCUCCUUUGCGUAGUAACAUUUCGUCUCGCACUGGGAUCCGGAGGGACUCUUGCCGUAAAACCCCCCAAUUUUCCAAAGGUUGACCUCGGAUCAGGUAGGAAUACCCGCUGAACUUAAGCAUAUCAAUAA